CCUACGGGAGGCAGCAGUGGGGAAUAUUGGGCAAUGGAGGAAACUCUGACGCAGCAACGCCGCGUGAAUGAUGAAGGUCUUCGGAUUGGAAAGUUCUUUUCUAAGGGAAGAAGAAAGUGACGGUACAUUAGGAAUAAGCCUCGGCUAACUACGUGCCAGCAGCCGCGGUAAUACGUAGGAGGCGAGCGUUAUCCGGAAUGACUGGGCGUAAGGGGUGCGUAGGUGGUCUGGAAAGUCAGUAGCGUAACCCCAAGGCUCAACCUUGGAACUACUACUAAAACUGUUGGACUUGAGUGCAGGAGGGGCAACUGGAAUUCCUAGUGUAGGAGUGGAAUGCGUAGAUAUUAGGAGGAACAUCAGUGGCGAAGGCGAGUUGCUAGAACAUAACUGACACUGAGGCACGAAAGCGUGGGGAGCAAACAGGAUUAGAUACCCUAGUAGUC
rnacentral:rRNA from 1 species